AUGGAACUGGAUGACGACCCGGAUGAACCGGAAGUUGAGGAGGACAUGGAGGGCAGCCAAGCUGACGAUGUAGAGGUAAUUAUCCUUUCCUCUGGUUCAGACUCUCUGCCAACACAAAAAAUCCGUCAAGCGAUCCAGAAAGUAAGCUUUUCACAUCCUCUUGAUCACUUGGAUCCAACAUUUAUUUUGAAGAAGAAGCAGCAUGAGGCUCGCCGCAUAACCCGGCACAGCGGCCAAAAGGUUACUUCGACCGGUUUACCGGACACCCCGGUUCGGAAACGCCGAUUUGAGGUCUCACCUGCUUCUGACACUUCUUAUCCCAAGGCAGGCUAUUUCUGA
rnacentral:rRNA from 1 species